GGUUAAGCGACUAAGCGUACACGGUGGAUGCCCUGGCAGUCAGAGGCGAUGAAGGGCGUGCUAAUCUGCGAUAAGCGCCGGUAAGGUGAUAUGAACCGUUAUAACCGGCGAUACCCGAAUGGGGAAACCCAGUGUGAUUCGUCACACUAUCAUUAACUGAAUCCAUAGGUUAAUGAGGCGAACCGGGGGAACUGAAACAUCUAAGUACCCCGAGGAAAAGAAA
rnacentral:rRNA from 2 species